AUUGAACGCUGGCGGUAUGCUUUACACAUGCAAGUCGAACGGUAGAGGGGCAACCCUUGAGAGUGGCGAACGGGUGAGUAAUGCAUCGGAACGUGCCCAGUAGUGGGGGAUAGCCCGGCGAAAGCCGGAUUAAUACCGCAUACGACCUGAGGGUGAAAGCGGGGGAUCGCAAGACCUCGCGCUAUUGGAGCGGCCGAUGCCAGAUUAGGUAGUUGGUGGGGUAAAGGCCUACCAAGCCGACGAUCUGUAGCUGGUCUGAGAGGACGACCAGCCACACUGGGACUGAGACACGGCCCAGACUCCUACGGGAGGCAGCAGUGGGGAAUUUUGGACAAUGGGCGCAAGCCUGAUCCAGCCAUGCCGCGUGCGGGAAGAAGGCCUUCGGGUUGUAAACCGCUUUUGUCAGGGAAGAAAUCUUCUGGGCUAAUACCCCGGGAGGAUGACGGUACCUGAAGAAUAAGCACCGGCUAACUACGUGCCAGCAGCCGCGGUAAGAC
rnacentral:rRNA from 1 species